UACGAAGGGGGCUAGCGUUGUUCGGAAUCACUGGGCGUAAAGGGUGCGCAGGCGGGUUUAUAAGUCAGGGGUGAAAUCCCGGGGCUCAACCUCGGAACUGCCUUUGAUACUGGGGGUCUUGAGUGCGAAAGAGGUGAGUGGAACUGCGAGUGUAGAGGUGAAAUUCGUAGAUAUUCGCAAGAACACCGGUGGCGAAGGCGGCUCACUGGUCCGGAACUGACGCUGAGGCGCGAAAGCGUGGGGAGCAAACAGG
rnacentral:rRNA from 1 species